AGAGUUUGAUCAUGGCUCAGAUGAACGCUAGCGGGAGGCCUAACACAUGCAAGCCGAGCGGUAUUGUUUCUUCGGAAAUGAGAGAGCGGCGUACGGGUGCGGAACACGUGUGUAACCUGCCUUUAUCUGGGGGAUAGCCUUUCGAAAGGAAGAUUAAUACUCCAUAAUAUAUUGAACGGCAUCGUUUAAUAUUGAAAGCUCCGGCGGAUAGAGAUGGGCACGCGCAAGAUUAGCUAGUUGGUGAGGUAACGGCUCACCAAGGCGAUGAUCUUUAGGGGGCCUGAGAGGGUGAUCCCCCCACACUGGUACUGAGACACGGACCAGACUCCUACGGGAGGCAGCAGUGAGGAAUAUUGGUCAAUGGGUGCAAGCCUGAACCAGCCAUCCCGCGUGAAGGACGACUGCCCUAUGGGUUGUAAACUUCUUUUGUAUAGGGAUAAACCUACCCUCGUGAGGGUAGCUGAAGGUACUAUACGAAUAAGCACCGGCUAACUCCGUG
rnacentral:rRNA from 1 species